AACGCACAUUGCGCCCGCUAGUAUUCUGGCGGGCAUGCCUGUUCGAGCGUCAUUUCAACCAUCAAGCGCCUGCGCUUGUGUUGGAGCCCUGCGGCUGCCGCAGGCUCCCAAACCCAGUGGCGGGCUCGUCGUCGUACCGAGUGCAGUAAACUUACCACGCUCAGGGCGCGCGACGGGUAACCGGCCGUAAAACCCCCAACUUAUCAAGGUUGACCUCGGAUCAGGUAGGAAUACCCGCUGAACUUAA
rnacentral:misc_RNA from 1 species